ensembl:ncRNA mir-2491 mir-2491 stem loop
CGCGAACCACUUUGUGCCGCUGUUGCCUUUGCAGUUGCUGUUUUCCAUGUUGCUACUGCGGCCAAUUGUUGCGCAUCAGCAACAUCAACAACAUCAACAACAGCAGCAGCAACUGCAGUAGCAGCACUCGUGAUUCACUUUCGA